rnacentral:lncRNA from 1 species
AAAAAAUUAGCAAAAUUAAUUUAUAAGCUUUCUACAGAUUAAAUUUAUACCUGCCCUGUAGGGAUGUCNCAAAGGUCAGUAAAGCGGCCACAAAGGCCAAAGUCCUUUAAAGGUCAGCUUUUAAGUACCGUCCCUGCCCUCUAAGUGGCNCCUUGCUUGUCACCUUCUUCUUCCCCUAAAGGCGAACUAAAGGGGAACCCUUGUCAUCGUCCCCUUUGGGCUCCCCCCUUGUCAUCCGUCUUCUUCCCCUUUAGUUCGUCUUCUUUAGUUCCCCUAAAGGGGAUGAACCAAAGGUGUGUUCUUCCCCUUUAGGGGAACCCCUUCUUCAUCCCCUUUAGGGGAACUAAAGAAGACGGAGUCCCCUAAAGAAGACGGAGUCCCCUAAAGAAGACGGAGUCCCCUAAAGAAGACGGAGUCCCCUAAAGAAGACGGAGUCCCCUAAAGAAGACGGAGUCCCCCUAAAGAAGACGGAGUCCCCCUAAAGAAGACGGAGUCCCCUAAAGAAGACGGAGUCCCCCUAAAGAAGACGGAGUCCCCUAAAGAAGACGGAGUCCCCUAAAGAAGACGGGGUCCCCUAAAGAAGACGGAGUCCCCUAAAGAAGACGGAGUCCCCUUUAGGGGAAGAAGAAGAGACUUUGGGUGUGUUCUUCCCCUUUAGGGGAACCCCUUCUUCUUCCCCUUCGUUUUCACCCCUUUAGUUCAUCCCCUUUAGUUCCCCUAAAGGGGAUGAACUAAAGGGGAUGAACUAAAGGGGAAGAAGAAGAGACUUUGGGGUGUUCUUCCCCUUUAGGGGAACCCCUUCUUCUUCCCCUUCGUUUUCACCCCUUUAGUUCAUCCCCUUUAGUUCCCCUAAAGGGGAUGAACUAAAGGGGAUGAACUA